AGCUAUGUUUCUGUGCAGCUUCCUCCCAUGGUGUGGCACCGCCCCAAGCUCAGCGUCUGACUGUAGAACCGAGGAAGAGCAGUUGCUGCCUCAGGAUCUCUCGUCUCCCUACAGCCCCAUGGAGCUCCACAAAGCUGGUGCUGCUCUUCCUAUUACUAUGAACUUUCUCCACUUCAACGGUGCUGCUCUUCCGAUUACAAUGAACUUUCUCCACUUCAACGGUGUCCAGCCUCUUUCCCCAGGUAGAAAGACCGAGAUUCAGUAGACUGACUUUCAUUCGAAUUUUACAACUGCAAAUGUUAAUCAUUCUGAUGUCUGAUUGAACCUGUUGUUAAUUUAUUUGAAUCCCACCACUGCUAAGGACCCUUUUUGUCUCUCUGCUGUUGCUUUUCACCAUUGGCAAUUCUAUUCUGUACACACUGGUCAUCAGAUAUGAAAGGAAUGAACCAGCACUCCAUUGACAAUUUAUAUUGGUCUUUCAGAGGACGUAAAGGACAUUUUAGAUAAGGACUGAAGUGUUAGAAGCUGUGCAGGAGCUGUAGCUUUUCCGAGAGCUGAUUUCUGAAGAGAGGACUAGCCGACAAACUUACAGUAUUCAGUGUUGGCCAGAUUCUGAGUUAUAUGCAGUUCCAACUACUGUACGAACAAAUCUGUUGUUUUUUUUUAGCAAACUGCUGGUGUUGGGGCCUGCAUACCCAACUUAGAGCAAUUAUGGCAAUAUCUCCCUCAUCUCCACCUAUUACUGAGUGGGUGUAAAAGGAGGCAAUGGUUUUUGAAACAAAACAAAUAAAACAAAAAAAUUCUGUCUUUACCACCUACUAUAGCAAUAAAAAAUGAAAUAUGCCCAACCUCCGGUUUACCAAUAUUGUACACAGAAAGACAUUUGCUAUUGGUGCUAAAAAUAAUAUACUGCAAAUCUGUGUGUAUUGUACUGUAUGUAGCCAAUAAAACAACAGGGAUUUGGUCAUAUUUCGAUCAAAACA